GACGAACGCUGGCGGCGUGCCUAAUACAUGCAAGUAGAACGCACAGUUUAUACCGUAGCUUGCUACACCAUAGACUGUGAGUUGCGAACGGGUGAGUAACGCGUAGGUAACCUGCCUGGUAGCGGGGGAUAACUAUUGGAAACGAUAGCUAAUACCGCAUAAUAUUGAUUAUUGCAUGAUAAUUAAUUGAAAGGUGCAAUUGCACCACUACCAGAUGGACCUGCGUUGUAUUAGCUAGUAGGUGAGGUAACGGCUCACCUAGGCGACGAUACAUAGCCGACCUGAGAGGGUGAACGGCCACACUGGGACUGAGACACGGCCCAGACUCCUACGGGAGGCAGCAGUAGGGAAUCUUCGGCAAUGGACGAAAGUCUGACCGAGCAACGCCGCGUGAGUGAAGAAGGUUUUCGGAUCGUAAAGCUCUGUUGUAAGAGAAGAACGGGUGUGAGAGUGGAAAGUUCACACUGUGACGGUAUCUUACCAGAAAGGGACGGCUAACUACGUG
rnacentral:rRNA from 1 species